GUACUUACCUGGCAGGGGAGACACCAUGAUCAUGAAGGUGGUUUUCCCAGGGCGAGGCUCACCCAUUGCACUCUGAGUGUGCUGACCCCUGCGAGUUCCGCAAAUGUGGGAAACUCGACUGCAUAAUGUGUGGUAGUGGGGGACUGCGUUUGCACUAUCCCCUA
rnacentral:snRNA from 1 species